rnacentral:rRNA from 1 species
CGCCUCUUGAACCACUAUAAGAGGUCCAGCCUGCCCAGUGACACCGUUCAACGGCCGCGGUAUCCUAACCGUGCGAAGGUAGCGUAAUCAUUUGUUUCCUAAAUAGGGACUUGAAUGAAUGGCUUCACGAAGGUUGCACUGUCUCCUCUCCCAAAUCAGUGAAACUAAUCUUCCCGUGAAGAAGCGGGAAUAAAAAUAUAAGACGAGAAGACCCUAUGGAGCUUUAAACUAAAUAACAACUGUUACCCAACCAUGAAAUCUCAGCAAACUUCAAUAAAGUGUACAUCAUGAUUAUUAGUUUUAGGUUGGGGCGACCACGGAGUAAAAACUAACCUCCAAGCUGAACGAGCUAAGCCCUGAGCAAAAAGCCACAACUUUACGCACCAAAAAAUUGACUACUUUGACCCAAUAUUUUGACCAACGAACCAAGUUACCCUAGGGAUAACAGCGCUAUCCACUUCAAGAGCUCCUAUCGACAAGUGGGCUUACGACCUCGAUGUUGGAUCAGGGUAUCCUGGUGGUGCAGCCGCUACCAAUGGUUCGUUUGUUCAACGAUUAAACCCCU